AUGGGGAUGGAUUCAGCGACCGCCGACCGCUUCGACGCCAGUGAGCUGGAGCAUAUCACGGGAGCCGGUUCUUCUGCAGCGAUGAUUGACUGGGACAACGAGGAGCACCGCCGCUGCAUCGCCGCCUGCCUCGUCAAAGGCACUUACGUCCUUGAGAGCGACAGAGCUAUGGGCAGGACCGGGACGGCGGCGCUCGCGCCGGCAUGGUGGGAGAGCUUUCACUUCCGUCUCAAGGAGGAACUCGUGGAUGACGUGCUGGGCGCCGACUCCAUAUUCGGUGCCGUCCUCGACUCCAUAUUCGGUGCCGUCUUCGAGUUGGAGUACGUGCCCGCACACUCAUCCGCUCCUCGGUAUGUUGUCGCCUUCAGGGGCACCAUGCCGGAUAACCCCUGCUGGACGGUGGUGAUUCGAGACUACUACCAUAACUUGAAAGUACUGACCAACAAACUGAAAAAACGCACGCGCUGCCAGCUACCGUGCAGGGUGGUCGACGAACUUAUGAGGGAGGAGGACCAAGCAAGCCAAGGCCAAGACGGCUGCAUCUGGCUCGCCGGGCACUCUCUCGGAGCGUCUGUGGCGCUGGUCGUGGGACGGUACAUGAUGGAGCAGAAGAAGCCGUUCAACCUCCCGACCUUCCUCUUCAAUCCACCGCACGUGGCAUUUAUAACGUCGAUCAACUUCCUGAACCUGGAUCCGGUGGCCAAGAGGCGCCUGCACUUGGCGAGUGUUGGGCUAAGUCCCUCCACAUGA
rnacentral:rRNA from 1 species